GGGCAGGCAGUAGCCCCAAGCUUGCCCAACUGGGCAGAGGAUCCUCCUCCCGUCGCCACCGGAUUCUCAGAGAUCAAAGCUUCUAAGCUGCUCAUGGCACCAAGACCAUCACGACUCUGCUGCCACUGGCAGGGUGGCAGAAAGCCACCCUGAAGACAGCUCCUGGGCCACAAUACUUGGACCUUUCCAUACUGGGACAGUUCACCAAAAGAUCUCACUUCCUUGAACUCUAAACAGCAAAGUACUCAAGCAGACCUCUUCUUUCCCCUCCUUUUAUUAAGACAACCUGUUUCUUUCUAAUUGAAACAGCCAUUGCCCUCCGGAGAGAUAACCGAGAGGGAGGGGAGGCCGAGCCAAGCGAACAGGAUCCACUCUCCAAUGUGCAGCUUGUGCAUGGUUAAUGGAUGCUGGGCAUUAAUAUUUCUUACCCUUUUGUCUGUGCUCACUGUAAUAGAAACCCCUGUCUAGACUGAGUGGCUACUACCAGUAAUCCCAGUAAUAUCCAGUAAAAUCACUCUGAAAGGCGAUAGCUGUAGUUAUCAAGGAGCAGCAGGAUUAGCUUGAUUGAUUGAACAAUGGACUUCUGGUUUUUAACAUGAUCUAUAUGUGUCCCAGAAAAAUCAAAAAUAUACAUAUGGUUGUAAACCCUUCAGUGCUGGGCAACUUAUCAUGGCCUGUAAAUGCACUGACACGCCCUAAAAGGAGAGAGAUUAGUCUGCUCCAGAGGAAAGGCUGAGUGGUAGUGGCCAUAAAGAAAUACUUUCACUCAAUCAGCUUCUGCAGGCAGCCUCUCUACUGGCCCAACAGUGCAGGCUUGGGCCAAGCCUUCCUGGAAAGCCCUUUCCUCAGACUGCAUCACCUGUGAAGAGUUCUGCACUCAGUGCAACCAAGAGGAGCAUUCUCCCUUCCUGCUGUGGCCUCUGCUCUGCUCCCUCAACAGAUGACCAUGCCCCUGACCCAGGGAUGCUGUGUUCUGCACCAAAUCACACUCGACUCAUUCACUGGGUUUAAAUGAGCAGUAAAGGCUCCAGGCCCAGGUGUAGAGCAUCAUCCACUUGUGUAAUGAGCACAGGAUGUUUUGCUUGCUGUCCAAGGGCUGCAGGAGUGCAUCUGAUCCCUCUGCUGUGAGCUGAGCUAAUCUGUGGUGGGGCUGACUAGUUCACAGCAACGAAUAAUUCAUUAGUAGAGGACUAAGACCUGGAACCAGGACUCCUGCAUUCAUUUCCAGCUCUGCUCACAGUCCUCUUUGUGAGCUUAGUUAAACCUUUGAGCUCUUGCAUGGCUUGGUACAAGACUGGAAAUGAGAAAAAUGCUCUUACCUGGGAAAAUGGAGCUAGCAUUGGAAAGCUGCAUGCAUGGGUAGGUAGAAAAUGGCCCAGUGCUCAAACUAGGCAAGCAUCAGGCUUUAGGAAAGUCAGCUGAAAUAGAUUCCUCAAGUAAAGAAUAACGACCCAGAGAGCUACACUUUGUCUCUGGAGUUCACAGUCAAUUCUCACCAAAUUCAAAGGCAGGCAUCCUGAGCCCCCAGCAGCACCCAGCUGUGAGAAAGGGAACAAAAAGAUGGCUGUAUGGUUUCAGCUCCUCAGGAAGGGCUCCUGGCAGUGCCUGGCAAGGGGGCUGACUUUGUGGCUUAUCUAUGGUGCAACAGCAAACAACAGUACUGCAAAGAACUGAAAAGCUGGUAGUCUUUGCAAGUCCUGCUGAUGGUUCAGACACUCAAUCUUCCAGCCCUGUGUCCCACUGCAGCAAGAGGCAAAGCUUCCUUCCCCUUCGUGACACACCUGCAAACUACCUCUCCUCUGGUUCCUGCACUGAAAGCACAGAAGAGGUGGUUUAAGCUUGCUUGAAAUACCAAUUAAAAGAGCUCUCACUGUGUUGCUGAUUGUUAGACAGCCCACACUGCCUCACCUGGGAGCAGUGUGCUGCAAGGAGGCUGCUUGCUCCCUCUGUUUCUGCCAGUGAGCCAACUGGAGCAGGAAAAGGAGCUCCACAAAAGUCCCUCACUCUUUGCCCUCUUGUUAUUUUCCUAGUGGAAAGGUCUUUAUUUCUGUGAGCUGAGUCUGCACCCCCUGGUGACCAAGCCCAACAUUUAGAAUGAGCAAAAGCUGAACGAUUUUAACCACUUUCACUCCACCAGCUGCUGUGGAGCUCUGACAAUCUCUUAGGUCAAGACGUGCUCCAUGCCUAGCAAAAGGUGGUUGCAGAGCUCACUGAGCUGACCUGACACUGAACCUUUCACUGAGCCCUUCCAGCGCAGGAAAAUAUUUGUUUUAUUAGGGCCCUGCAGAACUCAUCCCAGUCCAGGUACUGGGAUUAAGACCAAAUGUGUUAAGCUUGCAUUAGCAAAGCUACAAGGGAGCUGCGUUUGGGGAGGUAUCUGACUUGGUUUGUAGCUGCUGCAAUGGCACAGUACAAGAUCUGGGCUAAUGAUAGCACUCAUGGCACCUUGAGGUGGGGACUCCACAAAGGGGACAGCCCUAUCCUGUGUCAAAGAUUGUUUUCAAAGGAUUAGGUAGAGCAGGCUCCCUGGAUUCCAAGAAAUUCCUUUUACUAGGAAAUUCCUGAGGCUCUCCUGGCUGGCUGAGCAACCUCAGGUCCUCAAGUCUUGGUUA